rnacentral:lncRNA from 1 species
UAACCCAAGUUUAUGACUUGCAAACUCUUAAACAGAGGGGACUGUAGUGGAAGCAGCUUUGAGCUAAUUGAAAGCAAAUUUGUAAAGUAAAUACUUAACUGUUUGUCCUUUAAACACUAAAAAUAAGGAUGUUGUGAAACAUCCAUUAGUGAAUUAACCAGGAAACACUGGGCUGGAAAGAGUUGCUGUCAGCCCAGAGUUAGUCGUAGGGAUUUGCGAAACCAUCUGUGGCAUUUUAAAGUGCAGAUUUCACUUUUCUUUUCACAGCUGGGCUAGACUUUCGCUGGCUUCAAGACAAUUUACCUCUUACUAAAGUAAUGGGCUCGUUUGCUAUGGGAUCCAGAACAACACUGUUUAGUAUGUCCUUCCAAAAUUGUUGUAAGCCUUUGUAAGUUUCCUCUCAAGUGUCAUUUGCAUUUUUGUCUGACAACCUGAAAUCUAUAGAAGACUUUAUGAGAACACUUACAUUGUGGCACUACCUAGCUUGCACCGUGUGUGCAGUCUUGCAUUUUCUGCUGGCAUUUAUCCUAGAAGUGUCACAGCACACUCACAGUGACUCCACAAAACUCACUGCAGCACACAGUGCUCCUGCUUCCUCCUCUGUGGAGCUAGCAUUUGACACUCGUGCUCUAACGGAGUGUCAUCUUCCAGAACUCACUUACAUUUUUAAAAACUUCCAGACAAGUGUCAGAUUGUAGACUGUGAGUCUUGGGAAAUCUUCCUGAGAUAAAGGCUACGAAAGCCACUGUUACAAAGUCCGCAGUCAUGUGUGCCUGAAUGCUAAAGGAAUCCCAAAUCUGGGCAGUGUACACUUUCAGGCUCAAGUCCAAGGGGAAGUACACUGGUCAUUCCUAAUGCGAUUGCAGACAGUCAGUAUAGUGGAGCAGGAGCAGGGGUCCUUUUACUUCUAAAUUUCUUUUAAAAAAUCACUCAGCAAGGUAGUUCACAUAGUCUGUCUGUAUUUGUUUCUAUCAAAAUCAUUAAAUCUAAAUAGCUCACUUCUGAGCAAAACCCUGCUCUGUGGGAAAUUAUCACUGCCAGAACUCCUUCAUGUCUGUAGUGUCUUGUGUGAUUGGAAUAAUUCAACUUCUCACACCAGCAAGUAUUUUACAGGUGCCUUGGAUUGAGACAAAAUUUAUUUUAAAACUUUAAAUCUUUAUUUAUGAUGCCACUUUUAAAAGAAAUCUCAAUUAUGUAAAAUUGUCGAUGGGCUUGUUUAAUAUGCCGCUUGUGAUAGAAUUAUUUAAAUGCUUUUUUCAGUUAAAACUUCACCGUGAAGUCACAGACAAUAACCAGUAUUUUAUCAUGUAUUGAAGGCACAUAAGUGUUUUUCAGAGUAUGGCCCAUGGGCCAACCAUUCAGUUCCUGGAAUGCUUAUUAAGAAUACAGAUUCCAAGGCCAAUUCGAGUCCAUCCAUGUCACAACUCAGGUGGGCUUCAGAGUGUCCAUUCCCCAGACACCACAGACAUGGCACACUGACAGGUGACAAGCACUAGAAUGGGGGUAGGGGAAAGGUUUGCUGGGUGUUUAUUAUGGGCUCAGAGCCGAGCCAUGCACAUUUUCACUGUCACUGAGACCGGCGUCUGCUGGUUCUUCUGUACUCUUGAGUGUUCGCUCACCAACUCUCCACUCACUAACAACUACAAACCAAGUCCGGGUUGUCGGCUGACCUCUCGGCUCCCGGGUGAUGACUCUGAAACCUGUACAAUCAUCUUUGGCUCAUGGCAGAGCAUAACCGCGCCCAUGGUGAAGCUUGCCUGCCAAAGCCCUUGCCUUCCUGACGGUCACCACUGCUCAUCUCAGAUGCCGCGCACGUCACUAGCGUGAGGAAAAUGGGAAAGACUUGAAUAAGGGUUGCUCACCUGCUGCUCUCGGAGAAUCAGUCUUGUAAAGGACAGCCCGCUGUGGUUACCCAUGCUGACUCUGCAGCGCCCACAUGCUGGUUGGAGGAAGGCAGUGAACGCUUUAGUCAUCAGGAACUUUGUGAGAUCAGGGUGGGAUCAGCUCUUACAACUUCUUAAAUCUGUAUGCUGCCCGUUUUAAUAUAUUUCUCUUCUGAUGUUCAAGUUUAAAAGGGUUUUCUAUCCACUGUCAAUUUUAAUUAUAUAACAUUUUGUCAAGGUUUUGUUUGGUUUUGUUUUCCCUUUCUGAUUGUUACUUGAUGCUAGCUGGAAUUCAAGAAAUGUCAAUGACUUUAUUCAAAUAAAAGAAAUAUUUUAGU